CCUGAAAGCUGAAGGCUCUGCCUCCCAUUCUACUCUUAAGGAUCCUAGGAACCACAAGUGUACAGGUGAGUCCGGUCCUGUUCAGAGAGUUCAGACGACGACUGAGAGAUGCUAGAGCUCCACGCAGGAGGCGCCGUACCUCCAUCCGAUGGGCUGAAAGGAGACGAGGCAGGAGGGAAGCACAGGGGCAACAGGGAGGAGGA